UUAUAUGAUGAAAUAUGCACUGGGCUCUGAGCAGUUUCAGAUGAACUCUGCUUAAUUUGAUGGAAAUUGCAGCCUAGAAAGCUAGUCUGAUAU
rfam:Gossypium arboreum cultivar AKA8401 contig_15727_1, whole genome shotgun sequence.